ensembl:lncRNA
CCAGCAUUAAGCAGUCCUGACAGCUCUGCUCCUUCCACACUUGGCAGCAGUUCAAAGUGCUCUUUCAUUUGAAAGGCUGGAAGGCUGCCAUGUGCAUUUGUGCAUUGCAGAUUUGCUGUGCCUGCUCUCAUAAGGAACUGAUAAAUGCCGUUGCUGUUGCCAUGGGGACAGGAGGCUAUCAGAAUGGCCCUGUGAUCUGCAGCCUCUCAGCUCUGCCUCUGCAGGGCUUUUUUUUUUUUUUUUUUCUUUUUCCUUUUUCUUUCUUUCUUUUUUUUUUUUUUUUUCCUUUUUCCCUGAGAUGGUGAAAUAAAUGUUCUAGAAAAGGUUAACUCUUGAAGGACAGGAAGCGGUGCUUCGAAAGGACAGAGUGAGCCUCCUCCAAGGUGCUGGGAACAAGAUGAACACAUACCUGCCAACUGUCCCUGUGUGGGAAGCACUGCCCUUGGGGAUGUGUAAGGCCGGGAGGGAGGAGGAGGAGAGACCUUCUCCCCACUCAGUCUCUUCAGAAUUCCCUCCAGUUCAGGAUCUCCCAGCAUAAUUAAAGGGCCGUCCCCUUUCUUCCCCUCGGCAUCACCACAUACAGUUCUCAGAUGUUCGUGGAAAUGAAUUAAUUCACCACUGAACUUGUAACAUGCCUGGUGCCUUUAGUGCUCAUUACCAUCACAGGACAGCUAGCGGGAUUAGAUCCAUUAUGCGGACUCCAUGUGUGGUUAAUUGAUAAAUGUGGGUUCCCUGAAGCCCUCUGCUGCAGUUGAGUAAACUGCGCUCUGUUUAAGCAGGGCGAAGUCUGUGCGUGACAUCACAGCGGGAACAAUGGGCACAGCACUGCAUUGCUGCGCCGCGGCCGCGCAGUGCGCUCCGGGGCAGCCUCUAACGAGAUCAAGAUGGGCACGCAUCUGUGCUCCCAGAGAAGGCAGGGAACGCCAAGGAGCGGUCAGACGGCGAGUGGCACAGAACAGGAAGAAUGGAGCAUCUGGGGGAUUCUGUGUAUGUACCGGAAUGUGACCGGUUCUGAGGGCUUUGUUUAAAACUGAGAACAAAUCAACAGCCCUGCAGAUGAACGCAUUGCCCCCUUCCUUCUCUAAACGUGGAUCUCCACCUUUCAAAAUUGCAUGCUUUUAUCUCUGUAUGUGAAUGGCAUUAUGUGAAAUGACACACUGCAACUGAACAAACCGAAGGAAGUGAGUCUCCACCCCACACGCUUUCAGCUCACAUUGCACAGAUAAUCUGCUUCACCAGCCGAUGGUAAAAACCCGGGGCUUUUUCAAACGGGCACCAAAAUUCUUUAAGUUUCACUCCAGUCCCACUUAUUUUUCAGUGGGCACAUUGUUUGGAAGGCUUUUGGUUGUGAAUGUGUUAAGCCAAGGUGAAAGAAAGCAGUCACUUGCAGAACAUGCCCGGGAGAUUGUGUCCAAAGCAGCACAAACAGGCAGGCAGACGUGUACGCGCAUGCACGCACGCACUUUUCACCUUCUCUGAUUUUUCUGUUAGUUCCCGUUCUCCAACAAAUUAAGGCAUCUGUGAUUCUGGGUUUUCUGUCUGACAUCAAAUCCUGCCGGCUAAAACAAUCUGCAUAUGCAAAUCUAGAUCAAAGCGAGCUGCACACAUGUACAAAGCAACGUCAGGGCCGCACACAAGGCUGCGUUUCAGAAAGCCUCUGCACCAGACCGAGCCAGGCCAAAGGAAACAUUUCUUCCUGGCUGCCUGGGCUUUUUCAAAUAAAUAAAUAAAUACACACGAAGCUCAGUGUAAUUCUACUGUAAUUUCUUUACCUGAUUCUCUCUGGGUUCUUGCCUACGGUUGUCAUGGUAAUUUGAUAAUUCUGGCUUGCUCGCCACGCAUUCUGUUUGUCU